rnacentral:snRNA from 1 species
AACCUUGCGCAAAGAGUGGCAUUAUCUUACUCAAUGAAGAUCGCCUGAGGUGCGACUAUUGCUGCUUGAUAACUUUUACCAAUACCCCGCCGUGGUAAUAUGGUUUAGUUUGUUUAAUGUGUAACUUUUCUCAUUUUUUAUUAGAA